CCAGGGUGUCCAAGAGCCCAACAGCUUCCAGCAGCACAGAGGUGGCAUCAUUUAUAGGUGGAUACAGACUGAUUGCUGGUUGAAGAGUUUCGCAAUGUGCAGGAUGAUGACUCCAGCUGUGGUCUUUGUCUUGUUGGCUGUUUUAGGACAGACAAGUGGCCAGUCUGGU